UUUUUAGGGCUGCAUCUGCAGCAUAUGGAAAUUCCCAGGACAAGGGUUGAAUUGGAGUUGUAGCUACAGGCCUACCCCACAGCCACAGCAACUCGGGAUCCCAGCCAUGUCUGUGACCUACACCACAGCUCAUGGUAACGCUGGAUCCUUAACCCACUGGGCAAGCCUGGGGAUCGAACCUACAUCCUCGUGGAUACUGGUUGGGUUCAUUAACUGCUGAGCCACGAUGGGAACUCUUAUGAAGGACACUUGCAGGCAGAGGGAACACAAGAGCUGCCAGGGGAGUCAAGGACAGUAAGGAGGUCUCAGGGGCUGGAGGAGAGCAAGGGACCAGGAGAGAACUUGCAAGUGAGGUCAGGUGGGCAAUGGGGCAAGUGUGGCUUGUAAGUCAACUGCAAGGACUUUGGAUUUGAGGGGGAAGGUUAGAGAGGGGAAUGGAGGUCACACCUGACCUCGGGAAGAGCUCAAGGGGGACAGAAACUUGGGUUCCUGCCUUCACCCUCAGCUCUAAGAAGUGGGCCCUUUCAUCCCAAACACCAAAAAAACAGGAUUCUCUCCUCCCUCAGCCACCUCUCCCUAUAAUUCUGCCCCAGGGAGCUCUGAGCUUAGUGAAAUGCCAUCCUCCUGCUUCAAGUAAAACUUUUUCCUUGGAGCCUAACCCUAAAAAAAAAGAAAAAAAAAUUCUAAUAAUUACACCAAGGCUCCCUAGUUUACAGAAUGCUUUAUACAUACACCCUUUCAGGUAACCUUCCAACCUUCAAUCAUAGAUUGAUCUUUACAUAUGACAGAGGCUAAUUCGACAGUCACUUCUAAGUGUAUGUCACUAAGGCUUGAUAUUCAUGAUAUUCACAAAUAUAUUCAUGAUAUUGAACUUGAUAUUCAUGAAUAUGUUAGUGAACUUGAUAUUCAUGAAUAUGUUCUUAAAAUGUUCUGAAGAUUCUGAUUCUAUUUUAUACUAAGUCUGGCUGCUGCACAGUGCUUGUCAAUGAUGCAAAACUCUGACCCGAUAUCAAAUGGAAUUCCCCUAAAAUGUUCUGAGUGGGGCAUAUAACCCACUAGACCUGGGUUAAGAAUCACCACUCUUAAGACCCUUCUUUGCCCCUGAUCUAAGAAACCCUUUUCCAGCCUCUCUCAUUCAGAGUAUAACAUGGCGAAACCCCAGUUUUCUAUCUGAUACAGGAAUCACCUCCUUCUUUUGUCAUGAAGAUUAGCCCCCAAGACUGAGGAGAAAACAGGUUAGGGAGAUGAGACAGAAAAUUCCCUCCAAUGGCUAUCACGUGACUUGGUAUGGGGGGCCAGUGUUGUGGUAAGGAAAAAGCAAGGCAGUUUUUACACUAGGUUUAUCAGCUGUGCAUCUUCCACUGACAUUCGGCCAAGGAACCUAUCUGAACGUUGAACCACGUAAGUGACUCGGGUUUUUUUCUUCUUUUGGCCACUGCAUUUGGCAGUUAUCUUUGUUAAGUAUUUUCUCAAGUCAUCAGCUUGGGAAACACAUUUCAGGUUGUUGAAAAUCCCUCCAGCAGGUAAUUUAGCACAGGAUGGACUGAGGAGCAGGGAUGAAGUUUCUGAUAAAAUCUGGGGUGGGUAUGUAUUGCAGUAGUCUUCUUGGUCCACUCUCCUUCCUGGAGAGUCUUUGUGACCUUCUCUCUACCUGACUAGGCAGCCUUAGAGGACCAGCUUCCUUAAUACCCAUGCAUUCACCGUUUACAGAUGGAGGCUGUGACCUGACCUGUACGAUGGCACAUCUAGUAAAUGUGAGGUAGUCAUAAAUGAGAGGUGCAAUGGCGAGCAUGUUAGGCCAAGAAUUCUAAGGCUUCUCUUUGACUGGCAAGCUCUGUGACUUAACAUCACUGAACUUGUUUCCUGCUAGCUGGUUCAAUGAUUUCCAAGAUGUCUUCUAGCUGUAGCACACUAUGAUCCUGAUUAUCAUCGAGAUAAUAAGGGACAAAAUAACAGGAAAAGCAAGGCAGUCCAGUGGUGUGAAUGUCUUAGGACCUAGUGGAAUUCUGUGAUUUAAUGAAAAAAGACAGGAAAAAGGAGUAAAAACUCUCCUAUGCAUCCGUUACUUAGUCCUUUUGUGACCACAGGGGCUUUGAGAAGGGAUAGCUGAGGCUCCUUUCAGGCCUGUCGUCUAUGACUCUGGUUCAGUAGAGGGAAACUGGGGUCUGGAGACCCGAGACUGAAGCCCAGCCCAGCCACUAUCUUAACCAUGCUUAGCUCCAGUGAUUUCAUCAGUAAGAUAGAUCUAAUAUUACCUCAUGGAGUUGACUGCAGUAAUGUUUGUUUAGGAAGCUCUAAGUAGUAAACUACUUAUCUACCUGGUAGUCAUCUAUGAUUAUAGGAUCCUUUUAAUAGACUCCAGGUCUUCUGCAUCAAUGGCUCUUGCUCCAACCAUCAUGUCCUUCCACCUCUAACUGAGGCAUAGUCCUUUGUAAUUGACUUGAAUCUUACAGUUACAUUUCUGCUGACAAUAGCCAUUUUGACAAUUCUCAGCAAAAUCAAAGUAAUUCCUUUCUCUCUGUGAAAAUGUGUUAAUGAAGCAAGAUCUGGGCAUAAGAGAUGACAGGUUGAGGCAAUAACAGCAGAAAACCUAGGGACUCCCCUAAAUGUCAACACUCAAAUGAUAGCACACAUCAAAGAAGCUGCCAAAAUUUGAUGCUUAGACCUCAGAAACCCUUGCAGAGUUCUGUGUCUCCAGCUAACUUGCUCUGCUCCACCCAUUCCCUUCCAAGCAGACGGGCAAAGAGGCAGUAAGGUUUUUUUGUCAUGAUGUCUGAAGUGAUACACUGAUGGCACAUUUCAUCUUUGGAAAUGGGACUCAACUCAGGGUGGAACCUAGUAAGUUAUGCAUCUUACUUCAGUGUGUCUAUUCCCUGUCAUUGCUGUGAAUGAAUGGAGCUUCUUGGGGAAUUAGAAGGUGCUACAUGGGAAAUCCAUUGGUUUUGUUGUGGCCAAGAGCCAGGGUAAAAUUUGAGGACAAAUUCAUUAGGUUUCUCUUAAGAAAAUAUUCUGGGUAUGCUUGGAAACUCUGUACAGAGGAUCAGUAUUAAUGUCUUCUGCAGUUGCUUAAAUAAAGUCCUUAUCCAGGUUUAUGGCACCCUCCCUGGUCAGGGACUGGGGUCAGGGAAAAGGCAAGUACUAGAUAAGGAGAGUCUUUCCACUGCUUAUGAGGAACGAGUCAUGAUGACAGUGUAGGAAGAGGGAGGGUUAGAGUGAAGAAAAAUAGUACUAAAGAAGGAGUUAGAAGAGCCUUCUCUCCCUCAGAUGACAAAAUCCAAUUUGCCCUUGUAUCUUUUUGCUGAGAAUUUGCAUUAAAUCAUGGUGCAUGGCUCACACUAAAUGAUUUCCAAGGUCCCAUCCUCGGCUGGGUCUGCUGAGAAGAGUUACGCGAUCAUCUGCCUUGUUAACCCUGAAUCUGAGGACUCCGCACAGAGUUCAGGAGCCUAUGUCCAAUGUAGAAAUAGAGCCCCCACCUUUAAGACAGUAGCACAGUAAUGGUGCUCUCCUAGAGACUGUGUCUGUUGGCAACCUGUUCCUGUGUUUGGAAAUCCAGGGGCUGUAUUCAGGCAGUUUGGGUAGCUGCCAAGAGCCAGUCACUGGGACCAGUCCAGAGAACAACCAUUUUUCAGAAGCUUUCCAAAAUGCCAACACCAAUUAGUUAGAUUCUGAUUUUGCUUGUUUCCAAGGAAAUGAAGAAGUGGGAAAAGGUACAUGAAUCAGGGGAGGCUAUCUGACAGUCCUGAAAGGGGCUGGUUGUGUCAACACUGUCUCUGCUUCUCAGAGGAUAAUAAAAACUUAUAGGUGUUCUUGCCUGCCUCUUGCUUCUGGGAAAUAGUGGGAUUUGGUGAGUUUCUUAUCUUUGAAGGGAGAGAGACUAGAGCAAUGAAAAAGAAGGGAGGGAAACAGAAUCAUGUUGUAACUGAUUGCAGUCUGAUUGAUGGUGGGCAAAUUGCAUCUGAGCCAAAAGUAUUGUGUUUCAUUUUGCCUUUAAAUCAUUUCCACUUGAAAUUCAGAGUUAUCUGCAGUGUUAGAAUCAAAUCUCUGAGGCUGUGCCUUUGGGAGUCAUAGGGAAUGAGGAAAGCACUGAAACUGAUGCUUAGCCCCUCUGUCAGGAUGCUGACCUGAGCUCUCCAGUCAUAUCCCAAUUGCUUCUCUGCUUUUCUUCUCCUUCAGUGAUCGAGUGUAAUGUGAUGCUAUGAAGCCCAGGUAGAGAGACUGAGAAUUUCAAAUCAAGCCCCCUAUCCUUAACGUUUUGAUAGCAAAUAAUGACCCUAUCCAACCAUCCUUUCCUUUGGCCUAGCUCUAGCCCUAGACUCUUGAUUUCUGGUGAUAAAACAGUAAUCUAUAUGGAAGUAUUUUGGGGGGAGGGGUUAAAUUUAUUUUUUAUUUAUUUAUUUAAAAAUUUUUUUAAUUAAAGUAUAGUUGAUUUACAAUGUUCCUUCAAAUUCUGCUAUGCCAGUAGAAAACUGACAGAAAGCUGUUAACCAACUAUAAUGGAAAAAAUUAAAAUCAUUUAAAAAAUAAAAAAAACUCUGCCAUACAGCAAAAGGACCCAGGCACACAUAUACAUACAUUCUUUUUUUUUUCAUACUAUCUUUCAUCAUGUUCUAACCCAAGAGGUUGAACAUAGUUCCCUGUGCUGUACAGUAGGACCCCAUUGCUUAUCCAUUCUAAAUAUAACAGUUUGCAUCUACUAACCCCAAACUCCCUGUCCAUCCCAUUUCCUCCCCACCUUCCUUUCCCCCAGUGAACAAGUUCUAAGUCCCAUGACAACUCUGUCCUCCCGAGGCUUAUAUCUGGAUCUAGAGUUAAGAGAAAUUAUAAAAUAAAAAUAAGCCUUCCAAAGCAAGUGCUAGCUUCUCAGACCUGUAUCCAUGACAUACAGUAACACCGGGCUCCCCUGUCAGCUACCAAUUUCUUGUUCAACCCUCAGGUCCUUAGAAAGCCUUUCCCUGGACUCAGGGAAUUAGAAAGUAGAUUUGUUGUUAUUGUGAGGCUCAGCCUGAGUGAGGGGGGAGAAAUUAAGCUUCUAAUCAAAAAGCAGUAUUGUGACCCAAGAAAAAGGAACCAGAAUAUGAGAACGAGACCUGUGUCUAAACCCUCCUCCGCCUAACAUUUAUUACAAGAAAUGCCAAUAGUCAGUGCCCCAUCCCUACUCCCAAGUUAUCCUUACUCCCAAGCUGUAUGUUCUGUUUGGAACACCCUCCCAUAAAUGGGGAGUUCAGUGUUCCAUCUGGAAGGAAGCUAAUGGUCACCUGUCACCCUCUUCUCUUGCUCUGUCUCAGCCCUGACCCCUGUCUCAGUACUUCUUGGCUGCAGAGUAUAUGCUU
rnacentral:lncRNA from 1 species